GGUGUAGCUUCCUGAAAACUUAUGGAUCUCUUCCAGGGCAGCCUGGGGCAAAAGACUGUGAAGAAAUCAAGAAGUUAGGUCUUUAUGUUUAUCAGCCCCAGCAGCUCAUUACCUAACUCUCAUGCCCUGGAACAUCUCUGUGUCAGUAUGGAAGGGAAGCACCGUGGAGCAGCCCACUCCUGGACAGUCCAGCAGGCCUAGCGUCAGGCUCUCCAUGAAGGCAUAAGACGAGGCCUUGGAUGUGCAGUAGUCGAUGGCUCCAGGGAUGGAGGAGAGGGAGAGAAUGGAGUUAAUGCACACCACGUGGCCGUUGCAGAGCUCCAGCAUGCGAGGCAGAAAUGCUUUCGUGGUCUGUGGGGGAGACAGACACAAUUACACAUUGUUCUGUUCCCUCAACCAUCUUCUGGAAAAUCCAACAAUAACAAUGAAAGCUUCAGAACUUCGGGGUCGGGAAUGUGUUAAUUGUCUAGUAUUCUCUAGACUACCUUUAGUGAAAGUCAACAAGCAUAUUUGACCGGCUCAGCAGAAAUAUGAGCCCACAUUUAGUGUUUGAUCUCAAGUCAUAUGAUGGCUCCUCUGCAAAACUCUAUGUAAAACUGGCAUUCAGAAAACGCCAUGUGUUUGAGAUUAGAGCAACAAUAUAUUACAGCAAUCCUCAGCAUGAGCUACUACUGCAACUAAAGUCUCCAAUGAUCAGCUCUUGUUCUCAUUGACUUUGAAUGUGUGUAGCCUAAAUCAGUCCAUUUUCUUCUAAAUGUUUAACUUUACCUAUUCCACCAGUUCUUUUAGUACCAUUCACUUUUGUUUGUGAAUCUCUCUUGUAUUUUUGUCUCUGACUCUUCUAUGCGAGGAAUGCGGUGUUACUUUUUCUCUUUUGGCAAAAACAUGCUUAAAUGAUGAGGAACGCUUCCAAGAAUUACAGCAUGCCAAGUGACUUAACGUUAAGUAACUGAAAAAUGUUCUGCAAAACACAAAGGAGUAUCUAGAGUUCAUGUUAGGUUCAAAGCAGGGUUACUGCACUACAACGAAUUGAGCAUUUGAGCAGCAAAUAAGUUAAGAUAUUGAUUCGUUUCUUACCCAGAACUGUCCAAGUGUGUUUAUGUGCUGGGUUUUCAGGAGUGCGUCAUCGUCACUGUCCAUAAGAGUUUUUCCAUGGACAACAGCUGCAUUAUUGACAAGAAUGGUGACAUCCCCGACCUGUGUGAGACCACAUCGCAUCCAUUUAGAGCCAAAUUUACUGUGUGGAUAAGUAAAAUUUUAAUAUUUUGGUUCCAUGGAAAAUAAAAGAUUAUUAAUUAUUACAUUUACA